AGCGUAGGUCCGUGCUCCCUGCUCAACAUCCCUACGACUUCUUUCCGGUCCCAGGCCCAGGCUUCGGGGCUAUGGGGAGCCUGGGUCCAGUCAUGCAGUCACCUCCUCCGGCCUCUUCGCUCACUCCUCCGUUUGGCUAUCGCGCCUGAGCGCCCCCCUCCCACCCAACCCCUCCAAGACACCUGGGCGCAGACCGCAGUCAGUAAGCAGAAACGCCGCCUGAUCUCGUCCUGGACGCCAGCACUUAGAAUGGAGUCCAGGUUGCACGCCAGCCUGUCAACACCGGCAAGUAAACUGAAAACGGCACAAGGACAAAACUACCCACGUUUGUGUCUUCAAGAAAGGACGCUCCCGCCCUGCAGAGAGCACUUUGUACCAGAUCUCAGCCUUGCCUUUCAGUCCCGAUUCUGCCCCUGGACUGGUCUGAUUCCCCAGAGCUGGUGGGACAGGGGGUACCCUUCUCUGAGUUCGAGCAAAUAGCUGCCAGUGGAACUGGUCAACCAUUCUUUCUCGGCAGACAGGAUUUUCCCAGUUUGGUGACCCUGGAGGCAUUCGCCCUGAAAAUGAGCCACCACUUCUGAUUUGCCCAAUCCACCUUCUCAAACUGGGCUAUGAGAUUAGGUGGGAGACAUGAGAGGUCAUUCUGUGGAAAGGGCAGAUGCUCUGUGACCCUGUGUGGGGCUGACCUGGUGUAGGGAGCUGGCCCAGGAGGUCCUACCACAAACACUAGGUUCAGGGGCCUUUCUGCUCAGAACUUUGACCUGUCAUUCCUCUGAGAGCCCUUCUGAGUGCGCUUGAGAGGGGAGGGACUCUGAGUGGAAAACUUACUGAGAUUGGAGACACAGGCUUUGGAUUUAGAUGAGUCAAAACCUCAACAUUACCGCUUUAUAUUACACUGUAUGAUCUCAAGGAAUACAGUUACCCACACUUAUUCUUAUUUUCCUCAUCUAUGGAAAGGGGAUAGCAAUUCCCAGCCUGGGAUUGUAGUAAGAAUGGGUCUUGGACCAGCCCCUGCCAGUCCUUUACGAAUUUACACAAGGGGCACCUGGGUGGCUCAGUCGGUUAAGCUUUUGACUUAGGCUCAGGUCAUGAUCUUGAGGUUCCCGCAUGGGGACAAACUUCAAAAAUAAACUUCAAAACUUCAAAAGUAAA